AGACUGUGUUCUAUGACCGGAAGAGCUUUGGCUGUGUGUUAAGAAUCCACUACAAAAAUGAAUUUCAGCCAGACAUCGAACUGUAAGUUAGACACAAGCACAAUUAGACUCUUGAGUACAAAAAUUUAAUUAAACCUUCUGAAACAAUUAGCAAUAUGUGUCACACACUGUUUUACUGUUAGCACCUUACAGUAAAACUAUGUGACUCAUAUUUCUAAGCAUGAGGACUGCAUAUUUCUGUGAGGAAGUAGAUUAUUAUCGCAGUGCAUUUGUUAUACAAUGGAUGUAAGGAGCAAUAUGUAAUGUGUUCUGGUAUUUCUGUAGGUAUGAAGGAGAGACAUUCAUACACAGUGUUGAUGCCAACUUCAUAGUGUGGGAGAAUUUUAAUCCGACCAUGCGUCAGGUAGCUUGCCUUCGCAAGGCCCAAACAUGGAAAUCUAUGCUAGUUGAUGAGAAGCAUCCUGAUAAGGCCUGGGGACCUCUUAAUUACAAGAGCUGUUUUGUUGAUGACUCUGAAAAACUAGGAAACCUUGACCCACCCUAUGAAAUCAAGAAUAGGAGUUCCAAGAAUUACCCAAAUUAC